rnacentral:tRNA from 1 species
GGAAGAUGAGCCGGCUUGGGCCGGGCGCCGAUUGCUAGUCGGUUGACUCCCUCGUGGAGCGGGUUCGAUUCCUCCAUCUUCCG